UAUCUGACAGAAGACUCUCCAU
rnacentral:siRNA from 1 species